rnacentral:rRNA from 1 species
AUGGGGUGGGCUGGAUCCAAAUUCAGAAGAAAUCUCACUGGCGAUAAGCAAACCUUGUGGGAUAGUUUGAGGGACAAAUGUGAGAGGGUCAGGAUGCAUGAUGGCAAAGAUCAGCCACAAUGGAUGCUGACAGCCGACAAACAAUUCUCUGUUAGAUCACUCUACCACUCCCUAGUGAAAACUGAUGUGGGAUUCCCACACAAAUAUCUCUGGAAAAUCAAAAUGCCAGCAAAGAUUAAAAUGUUCCUCUGGCUUAUUGCUAGAAAAAGUGUGUUGACUAAAGAUAAUCUUAUCAAGAAAAGGGUGGAGAGGGAAACAGGGGUGUGUCUACUCUGGUCAAGAUGA